rnacentral:rRNA from 1 species
ACACCGGCAGCUCAAGUGGUAGCCGCUUUUAUUGGGCCUAAAGCGUCCGUAGCCGGUCUGAUAAGUCUCUGGUGAAAUCCCGCAGCUUAACUGUGGGAAUUGCUGGAGAUACUAUCAUGACUCGAGGUCGGGAGAGGCUGGAGGUACUCCCAGGGUAGGGGUGAAAUCCUGUAAUCCUGGGAGGACCACCUGUGGCGAAGGCGUCCAGCUGGAACGAACCUGACGGUGAGGGACGAAAGCCAGGGGCGCGAACCGGAUUAGAUACCCGGGUAGUCCUGGCCGUAAACGAUGUGGACUUGGUGUUGGGAUGGCUUCGAGCUGCCCCAGUGCCGAAGGGAAGCUGUUAAGUCCACCGCCUGGGAAGUACGGCCGCAAGGCUGAAACUUAAAGGAAUUGACGGGG